GUGCUCGCUUUGGUGGCACAUAUACUAAAAUUGGAUCAAUACAGAGAAGGUUAGCAUGGCCCGUACACAAGAAAAAAAAUAAAAAGAGUAGAGAUGAAGUGCUUUCCU